rnacentral:rRNA from 1 species
GGUACCGUCAACGAACGACGCCGUUCGCGCCGCCCGACUUCUUCCCGCUUGACAGAGCUUUACGACCCGAAAGCCUUCGUCACUCACGCGGCGUUGCUGCGUCAGGGUUUCCCCCAUUGCGCAAAAUCCCUCA